CGUGUAGGCGGCCACACAGGUCCGCUGUGAAAACUCGAGGCUCAACCUCGAGCUGUCGGUGGAAACCGUGUGGCUAGAGUCCGGAAGAGGAGAGUGGAAUUCCCGGUGUAGCGGUGAAAUGCGCAGAUAUCGGGAAGAACACCCGUGGCGAAGGCGGCUCUCUGGGACGGUACUGACGCUGAGACGCGAAAGCGUGGGGAGCGAACA
rnacentral:rRNA from 1 species